rnacentral:rRNA from 1 species
UACGAAGGGGGCUAGCGUUGCUCGGAAUCACUGGGCGUAAAGCGCACGUAGGCGGACUCUUAAGUCGGUGGUGAAAUCCUGGAGCUCAACUCCAGAACUGCCUUCGAUACUGGGAGUCUUGAGUCCGGGAGAGGUGAGUGGAACUGCGAGUGUAGAGGUGAAAUUCGUAGAUAUUCGCAAGAACACCAGUGGCGAAGGCGGCUCACUGGCCCAUUACUGACGCUGAGGCACGAAAGCGUGGGGAGCAAACAGG